CUUCCCUGGUCUUGUCGGCCUUGCCAGAGCUGAGAGUGGACAGGUGGCCCCAGUUACCUGUGGCACCUCCAUGGCAGAAAUGGAGAAGACGUGGAGGCAGAAGAUCUUGGAGCCGUUGUAGCCCACCAUGAAGCCCUGCAGCUUCUGCCGGUGCACAGGAAAGGCCCCUCCUGCUAUUGAUUCUGCUGCCGAGAACAAGGAGACUGGUAAGGGGACCGAAUCUGCCUGUAACAUCAGGAAACCCUGCGGUGGCCAAGGGUUUUCCUUCUUCAUGUAGUUGAGAUUAUGCCUCCAGCCUCCACCACCCAUGCCCCUCCAUCCAGGCUUCCAGAGGGAUCCAAGGGAAAGCCACCUCUGGUGGCCCUGAGACCUUCAGAGGUGGAGCUCCACGUCAGGAAACACUCAGGUUACUUCUUUCUCAACAGCAGUGCCACAGAUGACAUGAAGGUGGCCUACCAGGAGGCCAGGGCCAUCACCAUGAAAUCCAGCAGCCCGAGGAGCCUCCAUAUCAUUCUGUAUUCCAUGUUGGCUGGGGCCCUGCCCUUCUACUCAGGGAACCUGGCAGCCCUCAGGAAAAAAGUGAUCACAGGAUGAUACUAUUCCCCACUAUUUUUUCCACUUCAAAUUCAAAGCUUUAUUAACAAGUACUUAAUGCUAGACAUUAGGGAGCAGUCCCUACUGGAACAACUGAUGAGGGACCUGUGGGUGAACCGUGGCCCGAAGAUGCCAAUGACAUCGUUCAAAGAGCCGCUCCUGGACCACCCGAACCCCAACAACCCAGCUCACUGUGGCCAUGGGAUUCCAAGCUGAGAGCAUCUCCGUGUCACUUGUAGAAAGAAAAUUCAACUAUCCCAUGGCCACCUACCUCAUUUUAGAGCACCCAAAACUAAAGAGGAAGCACUCUACCAUCUGAGAACUAUCCCUUCCUCCUGGGGUUCCCACCUGUCCCUCUCCAUCCACCGAAGUUUCCACCUUCCCUCUCCCACUGAAAAGGGCUCACAGAGAGCCAACUUGUCACACUUUUAACAUUCAGCUGCCCGAGGAGGGCCAGAAGUCAGGGCAGAAGACCACCAUUCCUGCCAGUGCAUCUGCCGGCCUGCAGAGGAAGCCAGACAGUUUUAGUGAAGCCCCCAGCACGACCCUGUAGGUUCCUUCUCUACCCCGAGCACCAGCAGUAGUGGAGGAAAGCCAGAAAAAACCUUGAUCCAGCGACAAGCACUGCAGGAAGCCAGCUUCCUCCAAGCUGGGCAGCCAGAGGCGGUGAAUUCAGCCUCAUAGACAAGAAACCAGGGCUGCCACAGGGCUGCCAGAAGACGCCUUUCAUUUCUUCUACAACAACUGCGUUGCUUGUGCCCAGCACAGAAAAUUCUUGCAAAUAAGCUCACCCCAACGAAGUAGUGGGAUGACUGUGGUGAAGACGAAAAUCGAGUAUGUGGGGCGGUCAAAAUGCACUUCCUGCAUUUUACUUACUACGUUUUUAUUAGUAUUUUUUUAAUUAGCAAGUCAUGCUCGUAUUUAUUUGUGGGGUAGAAUGUGAUGAUUAGUUGGAUGUGUGCACCUUGGAAUGAUGAAAUCAAGCUACGUAGCUUCUCCACCACCUCAGAAAGACCAAUUCCACAUGAUGUCAUGGAAAUGGUGAUUGGGAAAAGCUGACCUCAUAGAAGUCGUGGGUAGAUCAAUGUUGACAGGAGCCGGUGAGUGGCACAGGGAGGGAAUGGGGGGGUUGCUGGUCAAAGGACCAAAGUCUCCGAUGGACAGGAGGAAGAGGUUUUGACAUCCAGUGCACAGCAGGGUGACCAGAGUCAAUGGAAAUAUACUGGAUAUUGCAAAACACCUGAGAGAGUCCACUUCAAAUGUCUUUUUGCAUUUACAUUGGAAAGGAUGAAGGCCCUGAGGUCCAAGAACAUUAAAACCUGACAGGUCGGUCAUCUGUAGACUCCAGUGGCUACAGGUAGGAGCCAGGCAAGAUGCCCACACUGUCGUGGACUUUAAAGGCAUCCUAUCCAAAGGGGUGAACUGAAGGACAGCCUGGAGCUUCCUGGAGACCAGAGGGCCCCUCCACCCCUCCUGGAGCAACAUCAGAGCCUGGACUGUUUCCUGUAGCACUUCUCUCCUGCCCUGCUCUAUUUUAUUUUUUUUAAUAAAGAUGGCUCCUGAUAAAUGACUCUCUUUCUUUUUUUCUUUUCUUUUCUUUUUGAGACAGAGUCCUGUUCC
ensembl:lincRNA